GACGAACGCUGGCGGCGUGCUUAACACAUGCAAGUCGAACGGAAAGGCCCUGCUUUUGUGGGGUGCUCGAGUGGCGAACGGGUGAGUAACACGUGAGUAACCUGCCCUUGACUUUGGGAUAAGUUCAGGAAACUGGGGCUAAUACCGGAUAGGAGCUCCUGCUGCAUGGUGGGGGUUGGAAAGUUUCGGCGGUUGGGGAUGGACUAGCGGCUUAUCAGCUUGUUGGUGGGGUAGUGGCUUACCAAGGCUUUGACGGGUAGCCGGCCUGGGAGGGUGACCGGCCACAUUGGGACUGAGAUACGGCCCAGACUCCUACGGGAGGCAGCAGUGGGGAAGAUUGCACAAGGGGCGGAAGCCUGAUGCAGCAACGCCGCGUGGGGGAAGAGGGCCUUCGGGUUGUAAACCACUUUCGCCUGUGACGAAGCGUGAGUGACGGUAAUGGGUAAAGAAGCACCGGCUAACUACGUG
rnacentral:rRNA from 1 species